rnacentral:rRNA from 1 species
AUCGCCAGGGAAUUACGAGCCCAAACUUAAAACCCAAAGGACUUGACGGUGCCCCACUCCCCCUAGAGGAGCCUGUUCUACAAUCGAUUAUACCCGCUAUACCCGACUGCUUUUUGAUCAAUCAGCUUGUAUACUUCCGUCGUAAGCUCACCAUGUUGAAUUGAUAUUGUAGUGAGCAUAAAGGAUUUAUCUCUCCCCAAUACGUCAGGUCAAGGUGCAGCCCACAAAGCAGAUAGACAUGGGCUACAGUUUCUAUAAUAGAACCCACGAAAAGCCGUAUGAAAUAUGGCCACGAAGGAGGAUUUAGAAGUAAAAAGAAAAUAAGACGUCCUUUUUAACUAAGGUGCUGGGGCGCGUACAGACCGCCCGUCACCCUCUUCAACCACACCCAAUUGAUUAUUAACCCAAUAAUUUAAUACAGAA